rnacentral:lncRNA from 1 species
GUGAUUGUGCCAACAUCUCUUGUAGACUUCUGAAUCUGAGGCUGGACAGAUAAGUUGUUUGUGUCAUUGGAAGGAGCAACUUCUGAUCUCUGGGAAGAAGAUAACCCAGCAGCAACAGGCCCCUGACUGCUGUCUUUGCAACUGUCUGAUGUCAUAGCAAUAGAAGAGGACACAAAGGAUCCACCAGAGGAAAUUACCUGUUCCUACAAGUGUACAGAAUCCUUAAUAAAGUACAAUCAACACCUGACCAGUGAAGCAUUUUGACCAGACAAAGCAUCUGUUAGUGAAUGGGAUUCAGUUUUCGACGGCUGGCUACAGUGAAAAGAAAUAUGGCUUCGACAACAGUGUGCACACACUUUAAUCUGAACAUGUUUGUCAAGGCUGCUAACUCCACACAAUCAGGAGAAACAGUGUUUGUUCAAAACAUGGCAAAAGAAACAAAAACUGGUCACCGUCCAAAGUAGAAGUUACAGCCACAGUUGUGCUCUCCUGUUCUGGUGAAUGCUUAAGGUAAGAUGUGUAUGUCUACACUAAGUUUUCUGAACCCAUGUACUUGUGUAUUUGAGCAGUGUGUAUAUGUUUACACUGUUUUCUGAACCUAAGUUCUUGUGUUAUUGUAAACAUUUCAGCAAUGUGUGUAUGUCUUUGCUAAGUUUUCUGAACCCAUGUACUUGUGUAUUUGAGCAAUGUGUGUUUCCUGCCAGUGUCAUUAAAGUAUACAUAUACAAACAAGACUAGGGUCUUUGCUUGACCCAAAACAUCCCAUAGCCCACAACUUACUUCUAGUAAGAAGUAUGAGAGACAUUAUUACAGUAAUAUUUUCUACUGCUCUUUACAUUUCACCGCUCAAGGGCUGAUGUCUACUUGCACAUAUACACAUAUACACAGGCUCUGUACAUGCGAAGAUGACAGUGUAUAGAAGCAGAUUAAUAUCACAUACAUCACCAAGAUCAAUAUCAGAUUAAAACUGCAUCAUUAUUAUAUGCCUGUUAUUAAUGCAUCCAAUGUGCUGCAUUCAGGUAUCAGGUCUACCUCCAAAAAUAUCUGGAAUGUGCACACUUAUCAAUAUGCAUCCCUUCUUUGGUGAAUUCAUAAGUUUGUAUAGAGGACACAGCUUAUUUGGAUUAACACAAAGGUAACUGAGAAAUACAAAAA